CAGCCGCGGUAAUUCCAGCUCCAAUAGCGUAUACUAAAGUUGUUGCGGUUAAAAAGCUCGUAGUUGGAUCUUGGAAUGUGUUCAAGCGGGUCAGCUUCUGGCUGUGCGCUGCUUGACGUGUUCUUCUAUUUGGUUUUGGUGCGGUGCGCUUAACUGCGUGUCGCUCCCGGCCGAAACGUUUACCUUGAAAAAAUUAGAGUGUUCAAAGCAGACCUGUUUGAGUCUGAAUAUUCGUGCAUGGAAUAAUGAAAUAUGAAUUCGGUUCUAUUUUGUUGGUUUUCGGAACUCGAGUUAAUGAUCAAGAGGGACAGACGGGGGCAUUCGUACUCUGCCGUUAGAGGUGAAAUUCUUGGAUCGGCGGAAGACGCGCAACUGCGAAAGCAUUUGCCAAGAAUGUUUUCUUUAAUCAAGAACGAUAGUCGGAGGUUCGAAGACGAUCAGAUACCGUCCUAGUUUCGACUGUAAACUAUGCCAGCUAACGAUCAGACAGAGUUCUCUACGACUUGUCUGGCAGUUUCCGGGAAACCAAAGCGUUUGGGUUCCGGGGGAAGUAUGGUUGCAAAGCUGAAACUUAAAGGAAUUGACGGAAGGGCACCACCAGGAGUGGAGCCUGCGGCUUAAUUUGACUCAACACGGGGAAACUCACCCGGCCCGGACACAGUGAGGAUUGACAGAUUGAGAGUUCUUUCUUGAUUCUGUGGGUGGUGGUGCAUGGCCGUUCUUAGUUGGUGGAGCGAUUUGUCUGGUUAAUUCCGAUAACGAACGAGACUCUGGCAUGUUAAAUAGUCGCGGAAGUGCGUAUGCACUUUGCCGAAUUGACUUCUUAGAGGGACUAGUGAUUUUAAUUCACACGAGAUUGAGCAAUAACAGGUCUGUGAUGCCAAAG
rnacentral:rRNA from 1 species